GUGCGAUGACUAUAAAGGGUCCUGAGUGCACUUCGUAUGUCAUGAGUGCAAUCAGGAGGUCCUUCAAGCGGUGUUUAGACGUACCGUUAUUCUUCUGGAAGCUUCAAUUUUUUCUUAUCAAUAACUUUUACACAAGGAGACAUUUUUUUUUUUGACAGCAUGAACCCCAGUUAAUGAGCAAACACAAAUUAAGAACGAAAAUCGUUUACAAUUAAAUUUUAU
rnacentral:lncRNA from 1 species